UCACAUGGACUUGUACGUUUUGUUACGUUGUCACGUUGUACCAUCAAAAUCUGUUGCCAAACGGGCGGGAAAGCAGUUGUAAGGUGCAGCGGGGCAAGAAGAAGGUAUUUGGAAGCCACUUGAAAGUGACUUGAAGCUGACUUCAGAGUACGUGUGACGUGUGUGGUGUUUGACAAGCGAACCACGGAGCUUACUUAUGUUUGAGCUUUCACUGGUACUGCCUGGAACUUGAGGUUCUGCUCCAUUGGGUGGUGCUGGCAUAAAUUCAAUGGCAAGCCCUGGUUGACUGUCAUCAUCAGAAGGGUCUGCAUGUUGAGUUGCGAGGACUUGCUUUGCUGUCCACUUGGUCUUACAAGGGCUAUCAACCCUUAAUCUGUCAAGGAUGGAUUAUUCCGCGCACAAGAUGUUAUGGACAAAAAUCAUUGUUUACAUGAGAUAUAGUGUUCUUGGGUCAGACUUUAGUUUUCAUAUCUGAGGUUGUUUACAAAUGUGCUGAAAUUUUUCACGGACUUUGCUGCAUUAUUUCUCUAGAAUUUGAUGUUUUUUCUUCAAACCUUCAAUUUAAAUGUCCUGAAGGGGUAUUUAAACAAGGCGUAGGUAAAAUUAACUUAACAUUUGGAAUCAUAAUCGAGUAAUUUUUUGCUCAUAUUUGAUAAAACAUUCAAAAAGCGAUUUCAACAUGGUGACAUGGCAAGCGAGAAGGUAUAAAGCAGAGGAAGUUGCUAGGAUUAUGGAUAUUCCCGAGGAUAGCCACAUCUGACUUUUGAGGGGGGAGAAGGCGAUAAUAAAAGCGGUAUGGACGAGCCUAACACAGACUCUGGUGAAUCAAACAGUUCUGCUUGUGAAAACGGCCACACUAUAAUCCAUUUUGAUACCACAUUUUAUCAGCUUUAUUAUGAUAUAUAAGCCAGAAUUGGUUAAAAUCUUGAAUUUUAAUAAUUUUUUUCUUAAAAGAGUCUCAAAAUCUCCAUAAUUAUUCAAAUAAUUGAUAUUAAGGGUAAGCACUUUCCUCUGAGUUAUGCACAUGCCAAAAAUAGUGCAAUUGUCCUGAGGCAUGGGGAUCUUGAAAUGGAAAGAUUUGAAGUUUGAAGUUUAUCGAAGCUUGAUAAGAAGAAAGCUUAAUAGGAAAUGACAAAUUACAAAUUAAUCUAAUUAAUUUAAUUAAUCUAAUUAUUAUUGAUCUAAUUUACACUUUCUUGUUCCUGAAGACCGUUCUUGCCCACAAAUAGCAGGAGCUAGUCGAGGCGGGCGAGAAAGCUCCACAAACUCAGGAGAAACAGCUAUUUAUUUUAAAUGACUGUGUGGAUCACAUAUCUCCACAGUGGAUUUCCUUUGUGACAUUUCUUGAGAUAAUGUUCGUUGCUUUUUGUAGUGAAAGAACCCAGGCCAGUGUUUUCUAUUUUAGAAGCACUGUUAAGGAGUAUUUAACUAAUUUGCCAAGAACAUACAAACCGAAUAUUAUCCCCAAGCAGCGUUAUCUCAUCCAUUUACCCUUACAAAUGCUUCUAUUUGGUCCUUUGAUUCGAUAUUGGUGCUUGAGGCUUGAGAGUAAGCAUGCAAUUUUGAGGACUUAGCAAAGGAAAAUGAUAAGAAUUUUAAAUUUGCAUACAAGUCAACUGUCUUCUCAAGUUUAGGGGAAUGUAUAUCUUCGAUAGAACAACACUUACUCAAGGCUUGGUAUCCACUUGUAGAAAUCACAGUCCACAUAGGACAUGUUGCUUGCCUCAAUCAAAGGCAACUGAAUACCUUUUAAUUAAAUAUGGGAUCCACUUUCGUCAGUGAAGUGCCCAAUGCCAUAAGUAGUUUUGCACUCUUUGCACUCGAGUAAUCUUGCUGGCAGGCAAAGGGCCUGUUGGACCAUGAACAAUUGUCUUUUUGGGGUUGUUGUGCAGUUGAAGGUAUUUUUCACAUUUGAAACGAGAUUAAAUUGGCAGAGCGAUGAAUCUGUCGCACCAAUAGCCUCUUUCUUCAGUUAAAGACUAUAAAAUGUCUCCUAGAGUGAUCGAGGAGGUUAGGAACUUAAGGCAAUACUGUUCCAAGAACUCGAAAGAGGAUUUCGCUUCAGCUGGCAACAAUGGAAACCUUAUCUUGUUAAUAUAGGGUUGUCGGUAGGUUACUGAGUAGCAGGUUCUGUCCAUAAAGUAGGUGGCUACAGCAAGGCAUGCACACCAUUCGAAGAGGGUAUGGGGGGCUCAGUUGGUUUUGGGGGUCUCCCGCAGGAAUUUUUGCCAAAAAUGAUACUCUGAAAUGCAAUCUGGGCCUAUUUUCUGCCAGCAUUGUGUAAAUCUGUACAUGGUUUUCCCACUCUUUUCUAUCUCUUGUUCUUUAAUCACUGUAACUUUGUAACCAUUGUAAUUUAUUAAUCAUUGUAACUAAAUUGUGUGUGGCAAAUGAACUGAUUAAAAUAAAAAAAAAACUGUUAAGUUGAUCUUAUAGUUCUGGAAUCCACCUUUGUGCAAUCACAUGCCAUGUGAUUAAAAAUCCUGAGAAACUACAGUGCACAAGAAGGAAAAUACUAUUCUCUUACACUAUAUUUUGUCUUCAACACAACUUUUCUUUUUCUCGUUAUUGCACAGUUUCUGUCAGUGUUUACUCUUUGAAUUCACUGUUUUAAAUGUAAAUAACUGUAACAUACAAAAAAUUGGAGAAACCAUGAUGCUUCAGAUUGGACUUCUUUCAUUACAUCUUCAAAAUCACUGUAAUAAUCAGAUUCAUCUGAUUCAUGAUCAUCCACUUCAUCUAAAGGAAGCCCAAGUCUUUCAGCUGCAAGAGUAACCUCAUCAUCCACACGCAGUUGCUCUGCGAGCUCUUCAACCACUGUUUGAGUACCCUGUGUGUAGGUACUGGGUUCUGCUGGCUUACAUACAUACAUACAUGCAUUAUUUAACAAUGCAGGUUAAAAAUAUAGUAGCGAAAGCUGAUGUAGACCUGCUAUGCAUAAAUAUCGACAAGAUAUAUUAAUUAGGUAAUUUAAAUGCACAUUAAUUUAAGCAGAGAAACUUACAAAUUUAACAAAUAAAAGUAUGAAAUAGCAUCUAAAAAUAUAUAAAAUCAUCAGAGUUCUUAAAUGUAAUGGUAGAACUACAACCAAAAGAUAUUUUAUCAAUAGAUUUAGAGUACUUUACAAGAUUUUCUUUAAACGAUGCAAAGGAAGAAAGUGGAUGGGCUCGUUCAAUGAGGCACGAGGAAAUUUGACUUUAAGUCUGUGUAUUUUUUGACCAAAAGAGUCGUACAAUUUGUUCAAAGGUUGUACAUGAAUUGAGGUUAAAAACUAACAUUAACUGACAACUUGAAAACACGAGGUAAUGACAAUGUGUACAAAACUGCGCAUGGGCAGAUAUUCAAAUAAGAAUGCUGAUUCAAGCGUGUCUUUUCCGCCGGCCUUGAUACCAUCAACAUAAAGUUCAACGUCCUUAGUUCAAAUAAUGUUUCUGGAAAAUGUUCUUUUGAGUUUCUUCUAAUAAAGUUGCCUAAAAAAGUUUCUUUGAGUUCAUUUCAUUCUUAUACUUGUUCUCUGAGCUUAUGAGGUUCAUAAUAUACUUAGCACUGGAUUCUAACAAUUUGCUAAAGUUCUUAAAUUGUACACAGUUUCUUUACAGGGUAUCCUCUGAUGGGAUUAGCAGGCACAACUUUACAACUGGUCGAAUGAAUGUUGCAGUCUUGGUUUUGACAGUGACCACUCUAAACAACUAGUCUGGUCCAGGAUGGAUUCUGAUGAUUCGCCCAAGGGGCCAUUGACAUGGUGGAGUGCGAUUGUCCUUUAAUAGCACAAUGUCAUUAACACAAAGACUUCGUUUGGGUCGCCUCCACUUAUUGAAGGUAUUCGGUAGACCACCGUUUCCAAAAAUGCUGUAUUGAGGCUUGACAAAGUUACCAUCGUUUUAACGUUGAAAUGGGUGUAGUUGAAACUUGGUCAGUCAGUGCUUCGAGUGGUCUGCCAGUUAGAAAUUGACCAGGGGUGAGUGGAGCAAUUCCAUCGUCAUCAUUUGAGUCGAGUGCUGUGUAAAGUGGUCUAGAGUUGAGGCAAGCCUCGAUUUGGCACAGAACAGUUGCCAUCUCUUCGAACGCGAGUUUACUUUCGCCAACUAUAC